rnacentral:rRNA from 1 species
UACGAAGGGUGCAAGCGUUACUCGGAAUUACUGGGCGUAAAGCGUGCGUAGGUGGUUUUUUAAGUCCGUUGUGAAAGCCCUGGGCUCAACCUGGGAAUGGCAGUGGAUACUGGAAAGCUAGAGUGCGGUAGAGGGUAGUGGAAUUCCCGGUGUAGCAGUGAAAUGCGUAGAGAUCGGGAGGAACACCAGUGACGAAGGCGGCUACCUGGACCAGCACUGACACUGAGGCACGAAAGCGUGGGGAGCAAACAGG